AAAUUGAAGAGUUUGAUCAUGGCUCAGAUUGAACGCUGGCGGCAGGCCUAACACAUGCAAGUCGAACGGUAACAGGAAGAAGCUUGCUUCUUUGCUGACGAGUGGCGGACGGGUGAGUAAUGUCUGGGAAACUGCCUGAUGGAGGGGGAUAACUACUGGAAACGGUAGCUAAUACCGCAUAACGUCGCAAGACCAAAGAGGGGGACCUUCGGGCCUCUUGCCAUCGGAUGUGCCCAGAUGGGAUUAGCUAGUAGGUGGGGUAACGGCUCACCUAGGCGACGAUCCCUAGCUGGUCUGAGAGGAUGACCAGCCACACUGGAACUGAGACACGGUCCAGACUCCUACGGGAGGCAGCAGUGGGGAAUAUUGCACAAUGGGCGCAAGCCUGAUGCAGCCAUGCCGCGUGUAUGAAGAAGGCCUUCGGGUUGUAAAGUACUUUCAGCGGGGAGGAAGGGAGUAAAGUUAAUACCUUUGCUCAUUGACGUUACCCGCAGAAGAAGCACCGGCUAACUCCGUGCCAGCAGCCGCGGUAAUACGGAGGGUGCAAGCGUUAAUCGGAAUUACUGGGAGUAAAGCGCACGCAGGAGGUUGAUUAAGUCAGAUGUGAAAUCCCCGGGCUCAACCUGGGAACUGCAUAUGAUACCGGCAUUCUUGAGUCUCGGAGAGGGGGGUAGAAUUCCAGGUGUAGCGGUGAAAUGCGUAGAGAUCUGGAGGAAUACCGGUGGCGAAGGCGGCCCCCUGGACGAAGACUGACGCUCAGGUGCGAAAGCGUGGGGAGCAAACAGGAUUAGAUACCCUGGUAGUCCACGCCGUAAACGAUGUCGACUUGGAGGUUGUGCCCUUGAGGCGUGGCUUCCGGAGCUAACGCGUUAAGUCGACCGCCUGGGGAGUACGGCCGCAAGGUUAAAACUCAAAUGAAUUGACGGGGGCCCGCACAAGCGGUGGAGCAUGUGGUUUAAUUCGAUGCAACGCGAAGAACCUUACCUGGUCUUGACAUCCACGGAAGUUUUCAGAGAUGAGAAUGUGCCUUCGGGAACCGUGAGACAGGUGCUGCAUGGCUGUCGUCAGCUCGUGUUGUGAAAUGUUGGGUUAAGUCCCGCAACGAGCGCAACCCUUAUCCUUUGUUGCCAGCGGUCCGGCCGGGAACUCAAAGGAGACUGCCAGUGAUAAACUGGAGGAAGGUGGGGAUGACGUCAAGUCAUCAUGGCCCUUACGACCAGGGCUACACACGUGCUACAAUGGCGCAUACAAAGAGAAGCGACCUCGCGAGAGCAAGCGGACCUCAUAAAGUGCGUCGUAGUCCGGAUUGGAGUCUGCAACUCGACUCCAUGAAGUCGGAAUCGCUAGUAAUCGUGGAUCAGAAUGCCACGGUGAAUACGUUCCCGGGCCUUGUACACACCGCCCGUCACACCAUGGGAGUGGGUUGCAAAAGAAGUAGGUAGCUUAACCUUCGGGAGGGCGCUUACCACUUUGUGAUUCAUGACUGGGGUGAAGUCGUAACAAGGUAACCGUAGGGGAACCUGCGGUUGGAUCACCUCCUUACCUUAAAGAAGC
rnacentral:rRNA from 1 species